AGCCAAUCCCCGAUGGCUCUGAAGAUGGGGGUGCCUCCGGCAGAGCCUGGGCCAGUGAGAGAUGGUGGUAAUGCCUCUGUGAUAACAGAUUCAAGAGGAAAAUCCAACCAAAGGGAGGCACAGGUUUUUUGUUCUAGCCAGAGAAGAGAAGGAGCUUGAAGCUGUCAAGAUGGCAGGCAAGUAAAAGAAAAUAAAAGAAUCUUUAAUGAAAAAAUGUCUUCAAUACUCCAAACACAUAUAUGAGAAGUUAUAUAUUAAGAACUCCAGAGGAUUUUAGCUCCUGCCAGAAUAAUUGAAUGCCAAACAUCUGCCAACAAUCAAAUCUGCUAGGAAACCUUUUAAGUAGCCCAGGAGCAAAGAAGUUUGCCACAGACAGAUGUCUUUAGUCUGCACAGUGCAGCAUGCACUCUCCAAUGAAAACAGACUGAAAUAUAAAGAAGGCUUGACAGCAAAUGGAACCCAGGCUGUUCACACCUUCACAAUAAAAAAGCAAAUGAACGUCUAGGUUUUCUAAAAAGUUUUUGUUUUCUUUCAGAAAAGAAAAGCUGAAAGGCUGCAUUCUGUGGUUCUGGCAGCAUUAACAGGUUGGUUUUUCUCAGGUCAAUAGCAAUUCCAUUAAUUAGCAAGAACAGCAACCAAUCUGCAGAAGCCAGCGAUGCUGACCGGCCAUUAAAUACCAUUGCGGGCAUGUUCAUAAUGUGCUCCCAAGCUCAGAGACAAACACUAUUCAGGCAAGAGUUUCUGGGCCAUUAUUGACAUAGAAGAUAGAUUUAACAGGAUAUGUCACCUGCAGAAGGUGACAUAUCCUGUUAAAUAAGAUUAUAUCUAACUAUAACUGGAUGUGGACAUAAAUGAAAGGAUAUUUACAACAUGUACAGCUGGAACAUUUUCUGUGGAUUACAGAGAGAACAUGGUAGACUGGAAGAGAGGAGAGAUUGAGGGAGAGAUGGGAAAAAGAAGAAUGGGACACUUUCUCUUCAGUCAUUCUUUGUCAUUUUCUCUUUUUUAUUAACUUGUCUAGUCUUCCUUUGAUUCUAUACAAACUCUCAGUCCUUGUAGAAUGGUUUUUCUUGUUUGCUGCUACUUACUUGUCAUGUCUUUGACAUUUUUCAGAGCUUAUAAACAGUUUGACUAUUUGUUCAUAAACACAUUUACCCUUUCCUA